UUGACAUCCAGAGAACUUAGCAGAGAUGCUUUGGUGCCUUCGGGAACUCUGAGACAGGCGCUGCAUGGCUGUCGUCAGCUCGUGUUGUGAAAUGUUGGGUUAACGUCCGCAACGAGCGCAACCCUUAUCCUUUGUUGCCAGCGGUUCGGCCGGGAACUCAAAGGAGACUGCCGGUGAUAAACCGGAGGAAGGUGGGGAUGACGUCAAGUCAUCAUGGCCCUUACGGCCAGGGCUACACACGUGCUACAAUGGCGCAUACAAAGAGAAGCGACCUCGCGAGAGCAAGCGGACCUCAUAAAGUGCGUCGUAGUCCGGAUUGGAGUCUGCAACUCGACUCCAUGAAGUCGGAAUCGCUAGUAAUCGUAGAUCAGAAUGCUACGGUGAAUACGUUCCCGGGCCUUGUACACACCGCCCGUCACACCAUGGGAGUGGGUUGCAAAAGAAGUAGGUAGCUUAACCUUCGGGAGGGCGCUUACCACUUUGUGAUUCAUGACUGGGGUGAAGUCGUAACAAGGUAAGCGUACGUGU
rnacentral:rRNA from 1 species